CCUACGGGAGGCAGCAGUAGGGAAUAUUGCUCAAUGGGGGAAACCCUGAAGCAGCAACGCCGCGUGGAGGAUGAUGGUUUUCGGAUUGUAAACUCCUUUUGUUAGAGAAGAUAAUGACGGUAUCUAACGAAUAAGCACCGGCUAACUCCGUGCCAGCAGCCGCGGUAAUACGGAGGGUGCAAGCGUUACUCGGAAUCACUGGGCGUAAAGAGCGCGUAGGCGGGAUAGCAAGUCAGAUGUGAAAUCCUAUGGCUUAACCAUAGAACGGCAUUUGAAACUGGUAUUCUAGAGUGUGGGAGAGGUAGGUGGAAUGCUUGGUGUAGGGGUAAAAUCCGUAGAGAUCAAGAGGAAUACUCAUUGCGAAGGCGACCUGCUAGAGCAUAACUGACGCUGAUGCGCGAAAGCGUGGGGAGCAAACAGGAUUAGAUACCCCGGUAGUC
rnacentral:rRNA from 1 species